GAUUAUCUAGAAGAAAGAAAAGCAUAACUAUUCACAGAAAAGAAUGAAGAGAUCUUAAUUCCUUCAAAGUCUCUUCUAGAAUCUAAACCAAAAUAAGCAAUUCCUUAAUUCUCUCUUAUCCAUAUUCAAGGCAGAGUUCAUCUCAGGGAAGCAGCUGUUACACAGAAACUUUGGGAAAGUUGGCUUCCAAUAUCAAUUAUUGCACAUUUCCAAGCAACGCAAUGCUAGGGUUAAUUUGAUAGAUGAACUAUUCAUUUGAAAUACCUUAACUGAGCACAAUCUACUCAUGUCUUCUCUGAAUCCAACCAGAUUCUGUAUACAAAAAAGCCACAGGCCUUCUAGGUAGGAAAGAAUAAUUUUUUCUGUACACUUUCCAAGACUUUGGUAGUACCAAUCAAACCCACAUAUUUCAGCAUCACAAAGCAUUUGAGCAAUGACUUAACCAGUGAGUUUUAUGGGUGAGAUCAAUUCACUGUCCUCUACUUAAAAAAAGCCCUGCAUAUACAGUAUGUUCUUAAUUCCCCCCUUUUUGCCAGCUUCUCUGCUUCUCUGUGCCAUUUCUAUGAGAGAAACGAGCUGCACCAAAUAUCCAAAUAUCUAAAUAAAGGGGUUUGUUCUAUGACAUUUGGAUCUGAAAUCCAAUUGUGUCUAAGGCCCCUUCCACACAGCUGUAUAAAAUCGACAUUGGACUGGAUUAUAUAGCAAUGUGGACUCAGAUAAUCCAGUUCAAAGCAGAUGUUGUGGAUGAUCUGCCUUUAUAUUCUGGAUUAUAUGGCUGUGUGGAAGGGCCCUAAGACUAUCAAAAACAGGGUUUUGGUCUUAAGAGUAUUUUAUGGAUAGAUUUUCAUAUUUAAUAAAGGCAUCCAAAAGAUUUUAAGACCUAAGGGAGAAAGAGGGAUGAACACAAAUCAUCUGUAUACAUUAAGAUGAAAAUCUUUCUGUUCCUGAUUACUGGAGAAGGAUAAUCUGCUUGAGCCUCUUGUGGCACCAAAUCAUUAAAAGGGACAGGAGCUGCCAGGCAUCUUUAUUUCAUUGCUCAGAUUGUUUGAAAAGCUUCAGUCAGAAAACUAAACUAAUUCUAACCCUCAUUUCUAUGUUGCUGUAUCAGUAUAUAGUACAUAUGGUAUAUCCUAGGGGCAUAAACUAUCCAAUUACUAGUUCCAGCUAGAAUAAAUACAAUGAAUCAAUUGUGAAUGAAAAAAACAGCACACAAGAACAUCUCACAAGUCCAAGGGAUCUACUUUGGGUGAGAGUGACAACUGAAUUUAGGCCGUGGUGCUGGCAGAUUUUUUUUUAAUCCUCCCAUUAAAUACCUUGAUGAGAAUUAUUUUCUCACAGUAAUGCGACUUCCAGUACAUUAAAGAAAAGGUAAAGGUUUCCCCCUGACAUUAAGUCUAGCCGUGUCCGACUCUGGGGGUUGGUGCUCAUGUCCAUUUCUAAUCCAAAGAGAUGGCAUUGUCCAUAGACCAGGUUAUGUGGCCCUCAUGACUGCAUGGACUGCGGCCUCUUUCCAGUACAUUGCAAACAUAAAAAUAUUCCAUGUCCUCAUAAUGCUAUGUGAAUGCAGAAUCAAAGAUAUCCCACAGUAUGUUAAAACACUCAAAGCCUGAAAAUACAUAUUUGCAUGAAGUGGACUAUUUGUUGUGAAUAGCUCUGAAAACUUCAAAACAUAUCCAACACAAAUGCAAUGUAUUUGUAGUAAAAAUGGUGCCAGAUUUUUUUAAUUUUUUUAUUUAUUUGACUGAGGAAAAAAUGGACAUGGCUGAAAUUUGGAGACAUUGUUUAUAACUCUUCAGGUGGAUUUGUAAACAAAAUGUGACUUUAGGAGGACCAAAUUGUCCCAUUGGCCAGAUGAAUGUUAAGUAGUUCCCAUUCAGCAAAUAUCCCCUCCAACUUUAAUUAAAAAUGUCUUACACUUUCUGACUUUGAUUACUUUUUAUUUAGUGCCAUACUGUAUUUAUGAUUUGAUUGGUUAGCCGCUGCUGAGAUAUUUCCGUUCCUGGUUUCUUUUCAAUUUUUCUUUUCGUUUUAUCAUGAAACUGGAAAAUGGGAAGAAAUCAUUAUUAAGAACCCUGCCAGAUACAGGGAAUUAUAGUGUGAUAUGUUAAUGAGAUGCCCCUUCUAAACAGGAAGCUUUUAAUUAAAGCAGAGUUGACAAGUGUGGAGCUGUAGGGACAAUUUUUACCUUAUUGUGGGCCACUCUUCCACAUUUUUGCUUGAAAAAGUAACCUAGAAGCUAGUGUAAGUUAGUUCCAGCUCCCAUUUCUAUUGUUUUGGUGUUUGUUUAGCUAACUUCUACAAAGGUAAUGUGUUGGAGAAGACCUCAGUGCAUUUUAAGUCACAGCAUUGAUCCUGGUGGCAUUUUAAGAUAUUGAGGGGUGAUUUUUUUGUUGUUUCAAGAAAUGAACGCAAGGCUUGUUGGCUUUGGAGAACUUAGGACAGGUUGGGAGUUGUAAAAAAAGUAAGGGAGGCUGGUGGCUCUAUGGAGCAACAAAUCUAGAAAGCUUCAAUAGCACUUUGCCAGUCUCUGCUGCACCUGUCAGUAAAAUUACAUUUUAUGUGAAAAAUGUGCCACAGACAUCCCACAAAAGGUAGUCUGAAAAAAGACAUGAGGACAAAUCAGAAAAUACUGUAGUGAACAGAUGGAUACACUGUAUUUUCCAUUAAAGUGAUGGUUGGCUCAGUGCUAUAGAAUCAUGGAAGUGAGGGACCACUUGGCAGAGAAAUCUAAAGACCUUGUAAAACCACAACUUAUAUGAUUCCAUAGCAUCGAGUUAGAUUCUCCAUAAAAAGUGAGUAAAGUAUGGAAUGUCCCAUUUCAACAUCCAGAUUGAAACAUAAGACUAGUGUAUAUUACAAGCUUCCAUCUAUUCAUAAUGACAAUAUUCUUCAGCCUCUUGAUCAAUCUUGACCUCUCUGUAUCCCCUAAACAAAUUUUAGAUAGGGUUGCAAUGUGUUCCAUUCUCUAUCUCCAAGAGGAAAACUAUUUAAAGCCUUAGAUAAGUAAAGGAGUCAGCAAAAGGAUAUUACACAACAGAAUGUUCCAUCUUCAUCUUAGCAUUGUAAAAGAAUGAAAUCAAUACCCAUAGGGUCAUAUCUAAGAGAGAAAGGAAAAGCCUGCAGUUCUAGUAUUGGAUCUGGCAAACACAACAUGAACUAAAUUCUUAUGGGCACUUCUGAACUCAAGCGUCUAGUAAUAUUACGUCCUGAGGUGCAACUAAAAGCUGUAUCAGUAUCUUUAUGCUCCCCUACUUCUCCCCAUAGAAGAUGGCAAGCACUAAGUUCACCUACAAUUAAUAAUUUAAAAAUGCCCUCAGUGAUUAUCUUGUAUCAGCAAAUUUUCUGUUCUCAUUGCACUACAUCUCAGACAAAUGGGGACAAAAAAUACUGUAGUUUUAUUUGGCUGAAUCAAAAAGAGAAUUCUGGAAUGUACUACUUUUGCGAUUAAAAUAUACAGGAACAAUAACAAAAAAAUUUACUCUCCAUCUGGUCUCACUAUCUCUGAGCCAAAUUUAAUGCUACAUAGAAAGUGCAUGUACAAUCUCUCCAUAUUUUUCUAACCAAAACAUAGCUUUGGAAAUUAUGACUAGAAGGAGGAGGGAGGUGGAAUGGGACCCACAGCCUCCAUCUUUGGGGCAUUUUCCCCCACUCAGAAUUAGUGAAACUCUAACUUAGCUAACCCAAGUGCUCUUGGAUAUUCCUGUUGUUUCGAAUAUCGCACUACACCACCUUGAAUGGUUGCCUGGAGGUCAAGAAAUGUGUUUCUGUUUUAACCCAUCUCAGAUUCAGUUUAUGAUAUAUGUUGCCCUUGUAUACUGGCUGACUCACAAACUAUAUACAUGUUUGUGUAUUCCAGUAAUCACUGCCAGUUGUGAUUCAUGCUUUUUGCUUAGGUAUCAUGCAUUCAGGUGUACCUCAGCUCAGAGGAUAAAUGCAGAAUUGGAUAAUCUUUUACUGCAGUUGCACAUGACUCUUUACUAGCAUGUGUCUCUGUUCUCUGCUAUUUUGGCACUAGGUUUGUAUUUUCUGGCUCAGUCUAUCAUUGUAUUUUUAUUUUUAAAAACACAAUGGUUUAACUAGAGAGGCAUCAUAACCCCAGAAAGAAUGCUUUAUCUACUUUCAUAAAGCACCCACUGGAUCCUGUGGCCAGACAGGUCCUGCUAGGUCCAAAGAACAUUUGGAUCCUGCAGUUAUUGGAAGAGAUAUAAUGGAUAACAAUAGAUGUCCACAAGAGAAAAAUGGAACUAUGUGUAGGCUGCAUCUAAUCUUGUUGAAUUGUGGGGAUUGGGGAUCCCAGCUGGAGAUAAAGCAUCUGAAAGUUAAAUGCUAACAACAGAAGUGAGGACAAGUCUACUGAGAAUGAGGAAGUAGAACUUCACCUUGUGUUUAGGAUAAAUGUGCUGAAACAUUCAAAAGCAACCUGUGUAAAUAUCUGUCAAAAAUAAUAUUUUUAGCAACAAACUUCAAAAUUAAUUCAUAAGACCUUCUCUACCAGGGAAUCCUAUUAAAGCUUUACUGGCCUGUAUGGACAAAGAGCUCAACUUGGAAUAAGGCAUCUGCCCCUGUUAUUAUAAUUGCUGGCCUGGCCAUCCCUUGCCAGUCUCUCAAGCAUCCCUCACUUAUCCUCUUCUUUAUUAUAGGAUGCUAUCCCAUGUACACCCACACACCGUGUCUUAACACUUCUAAAACAUCUGAAUAAUGUAAUUAAUCGGAGCCCAUCACAUGAUACAGGGAGACACACACACACACACGCACACCGCGUGCAUCAUGGUCUGUUACUGAAGUGCUUUGAAAGUGUUAAGGGGAAGGGGUGAAAGAGAAGCAGAAAUCAUCUCCUGUGCUCAGAAAUCACUAUGAAAUGGGAGAAAACAGCAAAAAAUGGAAUGGGAUCUGUCAGAUUUUCCCGCAUUCAAUCGAUUUGGUGACAUGGGUAAAUGGGCAUUCCUAUGGGUGUUGUUGUACAAAGCAGUGAUGCCCUGGUAGUCUCCCAAAACCCAGCUGCACUACUUCAGGAGAUCCCUACUUCAGCACCUCCAAGUUCCAAAACUCGAAAACUUGAGCAAUUUCAAUCUUUCCCAGUUUUGGAACUCUCAAGAUCGUUUUUGUUUUUGUUUUUUUAAAGGAAGUGGGCAGGAACUGCACUUGCUCGUGUGAUAAAUCUGAAAAUUGAUAAUUUCAGAACACAGGGCCAGAAACAACAAUAUGGGAUGGGGAAUGAGAAACAAUACACUUUGUUUUCAAACGCUAUGGGACAUAAUGUGAUGGUAAUGUGACGCUCUCAUGCAUAUACACCCCUUCAUGGGAUGAAGUGUGGAAAGGCUAAGUGGUCUCCCAUGGCCCAUUCAUUUCAAGAUAAUUGAAUAACACAUUCAACUUCUAAUCUAUUGUACUUUAUUUUAUUAUUAUUAUUUAUCUUUGGAAACACUCUGGAAAUUUUCGCACUGAAAUGUAUGAAAUAGGUUAAAUAUUAUCAUACUUUCUUAUUGAGAACAGAAGAGUAAAGACAAAAUACAAACAGAAAAUUCAAAACUUGCUAAUUGGUCAAAACCUGAUCAGCUGCCAUCUUCUUUCUUACCAUCUGUUAUAAAAAACAUUCAUUAGGGUCAUGAGAUGUCAGGGGUGGAUCAUACAAUAGAUGUAGCCCAUGAAAUAUUUAUUUUGAAGCCCACAGGGGCUCUCAGCAUUCUAUGAAUUGUGUAAAUGUCAAGUUGUUAUAGAAGCAUCAAUUCUGAAUUAUGGUGAUCCUAUCCUAGGGUUUUCUUGGCAAGAUUUGUCAUUGCCUUUCUCUAAGGCAGGGAGAGUAUGACACCUAGGUCACCCAAUGGUUUCCAUAGCUACUCUCACAGAAUUCUAGACCAGCACUCAAACCACUACAUCCUUUUGGCUUUCAAUAAAAUGUCAGCUGGGUUCAUCAAUAAUGAACAUCAUAAUCUCAGAUGGACAAGGCUAGAGGAGGGAGUCAUUUAGGAAACUGGACUUCCAGGAGCAGGGCUGUAACCGUAACUGUAUCUGCCCCAGUGAACACAGCUAAAAAUAUCCAGAGAUGAAGAAGUCAGUGGCCUGACAGAUACUGAGUUAUAACCCCAUCAGUCCUACCCAACAUAGACAAUAGUGGGAAAUGCUGGGAGCUUCCCCCAAAAAGUGCAGAUGCAUCCCUGUUCUCUACAAUGAUGCAGAAGAGCAACAUUGAAGUACUCUUAAGAAUCAAAAGAAUACAUCUUUAAAUCAAAAGAAUACAUCUUUGAAAAAUGACAGUUUUUUGAAAGCAGAAGAAGAAGAAAAAGGAAGUGCCAAUGAAGUAGUUAUAAAUUCAAUUUUAUCUGUUGUGGUACUUGGAGAUUAUAAAGGAGAGACUAUUGAUAGCAAAUAGAGAGACAGCAUUACCACUUUCUUGAGUCUUUAAUAUUAGUCAACACAAUAAGAGACUCAAUAUGUGAAAAUAUUCUAGUAAAUCCUGUCAUAUAACUACUUCUGCUGUUCUUAUGAAGAUAUCUGAUAAUUUAAUCCACGAUAACAUGAAUUCUGCACCUGAAAAUUCACUAACUUUGGAUGGUACUCCAAAUUCAUACUUCACACUCAGAGAGCUUUAACUAAGUAGACAUGAAUAUUUAUUGCUUUACCUGCAUUUGUCAUAUGAACCAAAUAUUUGUGUUGAGAAAAAUGUGACUUUUAAAAGAUUGCAGACAGAAGUGGCAGCUGUAAACUAGAAACUUUAAAAGAUAGAGAAAUAGUGUUUUACGCCAAGGGAGAAUACAGGGACCUGCACCUUUAAAGACUUCCAAAAACCAAACAAGAUUUUUUCCCCAAAAUGAUAUGUGCUUUUUCAAUAAAUUCUCAAACCUCAAA